UACGUAGGGGGCAAGCGUUGUCCGGAUUUAUUGGGCGUAAAGAGCGUGUAGGCGGCCGUACAGGUCAGCUGUGAAAACUCGAGGCUCAACCUCGAGACGUCGGUUGAAACCGUACGGCUAGAGUCCGGAAGAGGAGAGUGGAAUUCCGCGUGUAGCAGUGAAAUGCGUAGAGAUGCGGAGGAACACCGAUGGCGAAGGCAGCCCCCUGGGCCAACACUGACGCUCAGGCACGAAAGCGUGGGGAGCAAACAGG
rnacentral:rRNA from 1 species